rnacentral:misc_RNA from 1 species
AAAGCACAAACUGUAAAACUGUAGUCUUGCUAUCUUCAGUUGAGACCAACAUGACCCUCAACAUUCACAUUAAACUACACAUUCAACCAUCAUAUCAGUAAAAAUCUUCCAAUGUUAUAAAUAUAUCAAUCAACUAUCCCUUCUCCUCUGCAAGGGUUAAGACGCACUGGAGAGGGGUAAAAUAUCUUAAGCAAGAGCAAAAGCAUAAUCAUAAGUCCAGAAAACUGAUAAAAACCUUUCCCAUUGUCUAGAGUUUCAAAUUUAUAACAAACAACUUCCUUGUUGCAUCCAAUUCCCUGCAUAACAAUCCAUUCCAUUCCAUCGUGCAAUUAAAAAAAAUCCUAACAAAUGCUAAGAUUUCAAAUAAAAAGACCUACUUUUUAGCCGAUUUCUUCUUCGAAUUCACAGGCUGAAUCUGAGGCUUGGGAUGCUUCUCGGCUUCGCUGGGGUCCAACCAUUGGAGAAAGUAACGAUUAAACCAAGGCCAAUUGGGGACAGUAACCAAUGUAGUGAGAACCACUCCCCCAGCGUAAAUUUGGAUCAUCAUUUGAAACGAUCCCAUUACGUAGCCAACAGAGAAGGCCACCACCGCGAAUACUAUUAGCAUGAUCUGCAUCAGCUGCUCCGCUAGCUUCUGUCCCUGCCAAUCCAUCUAGAACGAAACAAGCAAACCAAAUUCAAAAACCAGAGAUUGUCCCUAGAUCACCAAUUCACCAUCAGUUAUUGAAUUACAGUAAUCAAAUUUUGGGGGAAGGGUUUCGUAAUCUGACCUAGAAUUCACGGAUCUCGUAUCAGGAGAUAUGGUGUCUGUCCGACAGAGAAGGGAUUCGUAUGGAAGUUGCAAGUGUGUUACCCCUAUUUUUUUUUAUUGAAUAUUUAAUAGAAUAGAUGACGACCGUUGGAUCAGAUUACUGGAAACGGAAGGCAGAGAUCAAGUAGCGUUAGGCACAAACAUAGAGCCAUGGUCUCCUUUUUAUCUGAAAACUUGAGCAAAUUAGGCGCGCUGCCUUUACUCACAAA